AUAGCUUUGGUCCUGGGCUUACCGUUGUUUUUUAUUAAGAUUAUACAUGCAAGCCUCAACAAUCCAGUGAAAAUGCCCAAAACCCCCUAAAAGACAAAAUGGAGCAGGCAUCAGGCACUAUAAUUAAGCCCAUAACGCCUAGCCACGCCACACCCCCACGGCUCACCAGCAGUAAUUAACAUUGGGCUAUAAGUGAAAACUUGACCCAACUAUAAUAACAUUAGGGCUGGUCAAUUUCGUGCCAGCCACGCGUUAUACGAAAGGCCCUAAACAACGACAAACCGGCGUAAAUGUGACUAGAGAUUCAUAAUAUUUUAAAUAUCAAAAUCCAUUAGCCUAGUUGUAAAACACUUAGACAAUGGAGAAAAUCAGCACAGAUAUUCUUAAUAUUAUAUUCUUGAUUACACGAAAGCUUAGAAACAAACUAGGAUUAGAUACCCUACUAUGCUAAGCCCCGAACAUUGAAAGUUUACCUAUACUUUACUUUCCGCCAGAGAACUACGAGUGAAAAACUUAAAACUCAAAGGACUUGACGGUGUCCCAUAUCGG
rnacentral:rRNA from 1 species